ACAAAAUAUUACCUCCCCUGUAAACAGUGCGCUCUUCUGACUAGAGGCGAUCGGUAAAGAAAAACGGAUGAUGCUGUAAUUGUUUUGCUUGUUUGAAAUGAGCUAGCACAGACGAACUAAGACGUGUCAACAUAAUGUGAAUAUGAUAAUGAACCAGCGAUAUUCUGUAUGGAAGGAAGACUGUCACAGAAUCCAACAGUUCCGGAGGGGCCAUUAAACUAACUGCUUAACAUCAAGAUCGAUGUAAGAUUCAAGUGCCUGAUCCAGUACAAGUUGUAGCUAGUUUUUCCUUGUAAUUGUGGCAGAAAAACCACUAGCUCUCAGCUGGGUAAUAGACAGUUUCUGGCAUUGAAAGGAUUCCCAAUUUAAACUCCGAAAAGACAAGAGCAAAGAAAUGUACAUCAAUGAGAAACAGUCUCUGUGAAUAAAAUUAUUCCAAAACUUAAA